rnacentral:lncRNA from 1 species
AGCCGCAGGCUCCACUCCUGGUGGUGUCCUUCCGUCAAUUCCUUUAAGUUUCAGCCUUGCGACCAAACUCCCCCCGGAACUCAAAAACUUUGAUUUCUCAUAAGGUGCCAGCGGAGUCCUAAAAGCAACAUCAAAAACAUUGAUUUCUCAUAAGGUGCCAGCGGAGUCCUAAAAGCAACAUCUGCUGAUCCCGGGUCGGCAUCGUUUAUGGUUGAGACUAGGACAGUAUCUGAUCGUCUUCGAGCCCCCAACUUUCGUUCUUGAUUAAUGAAAACAUCCUUGGCAAAUGCUUUCGCAGUUGUUCGUCUUUCAUAAACCCAAGAAUUUCACCUCUGACUAUGAAAUACGAAUGCCCCUGGCUAUAACACCCCCGAACCGUUCAAGGCAUAGGUCAAACCACCGGCCAACAGUCAAACAAGAACAUGACCGACGGCCCGACCGUUUACCAAGGUUCAGGAGUGCUACAAGACGGGUUAACGGGCAAUCCAGCCAAAGUUACAAAAAGUGCAAUUCGUAACUAGGCCAGGCCGCCCAUUAACACGUCCCGUCAGACCAAAGCCUAAGGCUUCUCAACCCGUACUCCAAUGUGACCUUGUGUUAGCUCCGACAAGCUAAUAUCAGAACAACAUGGCAUUUGCACAAAACAUUCGCUUUAUUUAUGUUAUAUAAUAUCUGGUUUACAAUACACAAAAUAUUAUACAAGUGGUGGCAAGCCAAAAAAGCGAAAGUACAUAUUUAUAGUCUGGAAGCGUCUUAAGCAAAAAGAUGCAAAUCUACACCAGCCAGCCUAGCCUCCCGCGCCUUCUACGAGCUCACUACUGGUCACCUGAAAACAACAACGAGUGAGGAGAGAGUAAUCUAGCAUUACUCAGCGAGUUACAAUCCCCAACUAACAAAUACAACCCCUCGCUAUCCCACCCCAAACAAUCUAAAGCGAGAGGUUCACCUAACGACACAAUUGAAUAACAAUAAGCAAUAUCUGAAAUACACAGCGGUAAACGAUAGCAAGAUAACUAGCAUUAUGCUAAUUACUAGCAUUUAAACCAGGGUUUAAAAACCCAAAACACGAUAUAAUAUAUAUAACAAACUCGGGCCCUGUAACGUUUGGUUCUUCCUUCACUAUCUGCAAUAUCCUAUCUUCCUACCACAAAAGCCAAAAGAAGGAACUUUCAACCGACCGCGGCCCACUGUCCUUCGGGUCAUCGCGCGACAGCCCACAGUCCUUCGGGUCACUGCCACAUUACACCGUCGUGUAAUCACUCAGCCAUAGGCCAUGACCCCGUCUAUCUGAGUCUUCCCGAUCCAGCGAAUAAGGGGUUUCCUUGAAUCCGGCGGGUACGAGGUCUGAAGGAACACUAACUCACCCCAAUAUGCCUAGCAUUGUGGGUUACACAAAUGCUAUCGGCCAAUAUACGAUUAAUACUAAACCCGGUAAAAAUAACACAAGGUUUCAAGUAAUAAUCACAACACAGUCAACCACAUUCCAGAAUCUAGCAUAAAGACUAAUUCCAGAAUACCUAACUAUCCACAACUUAGCGAUAUCAUCUAAGCAUUCUGCAUUCGCUAACUAACCAAUCAACCUAACCAUUAGCAUGCUACUACGGUUCUCAAGCAAUAACAAGCAUGCCAUCAACAUAACCUCAAUUUUUAACUAGUCAAACCAUUACUCAGUUACACCCGCCCCCUGCCAUAAUGCCAUCAACAUAACCUCAAUUAUUAACUAGUCAAACCGUUACUCAGUUACACCCGGCCCCCUGCCAUGAUCCAACUUCCAAGUAACGGGAACCUGCAUGAAAACAAGUCAGCAAACAAUUGAUCAUAACUCACAGGUUUUUGUUGACCGUGGCCUUGACUUCAAACCCAACUUCUGCGAUCCGAACCCUUUCCCGACCUUCAUAAGUAGACUCACUUCCUUGACUGAUCUCCACUUGAAAUGGUCUCCACUAGAACUGAUCUCUCUUCACUUGAAAAGAACCUUCUCCAGGUGCUGACUCAAAAUCGGCAGAGUAAGUGUUCUCAAAAACUGCCUAAAUCGCUCGAAAACUAUCGAAACUCGAUAUUUCUUUCUUUGAGUUCUCUAUCACGUUUUGAAGUAGGUUUGAUGUGUUCUGAAUGUGUUCAAAUGAGAGGGUGUCGUGGCCUAUUUAUAUAAAUCAGCAACCAAUCAGGAAUAAGCCGUGUGGCAGCCCGUAUGUUGCUUCGCAUGGCUCUGGACGCAUGCGCGGUGGCACCUCGUGCUCCACAUGGCUUUGGCUCAGGCUCGGUCGCUACAUAGCGACCGAGCUGGACGGACGCUCGGUCGCUACGUAGAGACUGAGCUUUGGCUCGAGCUCGGUCGCUAUGUAGCGACCGAACGGGAUGGACGCUCGGUCGCUGCGUAACGACCUGUUUUGAGCUUUCGUCGGACGUUUCGAUUCUUUCUUCAGCAAAGCUUUUUAGUAAGAAUGAAUCUAUUUCGAAAAGUAUUCAUCGGGGAAAUUCUUAUUCUCUUCCUCAGACGUUUUGAAUGUUAAAUUAGUCGCAACCAUUUUUGACCCCAACAGUUAGCGCCCCAGCCCGUUAGAGUCGUGACUCUAGCGGGCGGAUAGAUGAUUUUGACAAGGUUAAGCGUAUUGGACGAAAUUCACACUUUAAACUCCGCGGAAGAAAAGUUACCGAGACAUAUGUGUGUUACGAAUUCCGAACCCAUACUUCUAUAAGUAGUGAUCUCUUGUCAUUAAUUUUCUUCACACCUUCCCUUCUUCAUACCUUCAAAAACCUCUCAAGUUCCAAAACAUUUCCUUUCAACAUGUCUUCCUCCCAAGGUGAUAAGAGAGAUUCCAACGUCGAGAUAGGCGAGGCCACUUCUCCGGCUCUGGUUCUGACUUCUCCGGCUGCGGUGCCGGCUUGUGUUGCCGGUCAUCUCUCCUUCCGAGAGAAACUAGUUCGUCGCCAAGCCGAGAAAGAACUGGCUCAAGCCGGCUCCAAGUUCCCAUCUUCUUCUACGCGGGUCAUUGCCCCGGGUCAUGGGACCGAGGUCAUGGCUCCUUUUCUGCAAGCCCUACCUGCGGGAUCUUCCACGACUCCGAUCCUCGUCGAGGACAAGGAGAAGGCCGCUGACUCUAUGCCUCCUCCUCCAGCCAAGAAAGAAAUCGUUCUGGCGUUGCGCACUCCUAGCGCUGUUCCGGUUGAUCAGCGUAAGAGUCGGAAGAGGAAACUUGCCAAGAGUGGUGACAGGGAGACUUCACAGCAAGGUGGAUCGAGCCUAGCAUUGGGACUUUGCGGAAAGGUUUGUUUCUUGCUUGAAUUCUCGAUCGUCUCAUGUACAUUUUUUCUCGGACUUAGUCUUAAGAAUUUUUACCGUUCGCAGUUCAUAUCGUUGAUCGAUGGGAUGAUCAGCGAGUGUGGUUCUGAGACCAAUCGCCUUGCCGGGGAGUUGGUGGAGCUUCGGGGUAGAUGUCUGAAACCGAGACUAUGCUGACGGCUGUCCAGGAUUCCCACUCCGCAAAAGUGUCGAAGCUCGAGGUCGCGAUAGGGGAGCUUGAGAGGGAUCUUGGGAAGACGGCGAGUUCCUUGCUUAAGGAGAAAAAGGCCAGGAAGGCCAAAUCCUCUGAGGUACGUUGGUUCCAGCGUCAGAUCGAGGGUGAUGCGGGACUGGCGAGCAGCGGGAUCAAAGAGGCCACGGAUGCUCUUCGCGCAGAGUUUCAGGCUCGCUUGGCGAAGAUUUCUGCUUCCCUGGGUUCUCUCGAGUGUAUCCGGAGCAGGGACCUAGCUUUGGGGACGAUUGAGGGCGGAAUGGCCGUGGUUCGGUCGUUCCAAAGUGAGACUCACCCGACCUUGGAGGCCGAAGAGGCCCGACUGUCCGGUUGCAAGGGAGAUAUAGCGGCCGUGGAUGGAGAUUUUGAUCUCAUCCUGACUGACCUGAAAUCCGCAUGCUUCCUUCCGACGUGUUCAGAAGACCCAGAGGGGAAAUACCCGAUGGUUGGAGAAAACGGAGGUGAUGCGGCUCCAGGCUCGGAUGAGGCGUUGGGUGAAGAGGGGGUGUGAGUUCUGAGGAUGACUUGGGUUAGAUCUCUUGCGAGAGAUUUUUUUUAUGUUUUUAUGUUUCGGCCUUGAAUGGCCUUGUUUUCUAUUUCAGGACUGGCCGUGUGUGGCUUUGAGUCCCUGCCGCUCUGCGGCUAUUUUUUAUGAUCAGAUAAUCAAAUGGUACUUUUAUGAGUUUGUGUAUAGUGGGGAGGAAGGUGAUGAGUUGUCGUCUCAUAUCCUUCUUCGAUUGUGAGAUGUUUCAUUCGAGAUCUGUUUUGAGAGUUCUUCCGCGAGACGUGAGCUCUGCGGAGGCGCUGAAGAUGUCAAAUAUAAACAUAGAGGCAUGGUUUAGGAAUCUCUUAUCUUUCGAUAUCAUGCCUUGAGAUGUUAGAGACCAGUGCGCUGGGUUUAGGGCAAGACCUAGGUUUACUUUCGGUUUAAGGAUUGUGCGGUGACUAGCCGCCUAUCGUUUUUCCUGUUGCGAUUUCUUCCUGAUUCGUAUCGAUUUAAAGUCCUCGAUAGGUUCUCGGCUUAUACGAAUUGUUUGAUACGAAUCGAGCAUCUCUCCGGAGACCGGAAGUGCUGGACCAAAAUUUCGGAAUUCUUUUAUAGCGCUAUUAUCCUUGUUUCGGAUGUAAGAGAGUCAUCUUCGUGAGAUGGCUAUGUCUGUUUAGGACGUUUGUGAGUUCGAUGUGAUCAGCAUCAGACUUGGUCGCGCGUGCCGUUGUUUCGAGUUUUUGCACAAAAUAAGUGUUAAUCUGUGCAUAUAUAUGUCUUUUUUGUGACGGAGGUUUCGUUUUUUUGGAAGAAAUAACCUUUGCGGCAUCUUUUGCAACGUCUCGCGAUGCUAAAGGUUGCUUCUCCUAAACGGCCGACUAAUUUCCGAAGACCUCGUACUGAUUUUACGGGUGAGGAUGUUUUGAUAAGUCGAAAACACCAAGAGCAUGGUAAGAAGUUUUUUCGAUUUUUGGGAGUAUACGAGUAUACGUACCCACUCCCCCCCCCCCCUUUUAAUGAGGGGGAACAGCUGAAUUUGCCUUUCGGCAAACUGCCUACGUACUCCUUGUGGAGAUCAAGCCGUCUAGUAGUACAGUGAUUGCGAGUUGGUUUGUUUAAUGGUAGUACUUUUUGAGAUGCAUCGCGUUCCAGGUUCUAGGAAUUUUUAUGCCGUGCGUGUUGGCUAUUUCGUAAGAACCUGGUCGGACCACUUUUUCGAUUUUAUAGGGACCUUCCCAGUUCGCUCCAAGUUUUCCCGCGUUUCGUUCAGCGGUGUUUUGGAAGACUUUACGAAGGACCAGAUCUCCUUGAUUAAACCUAUGAUUUCGUACGUUGGAAUUAUAGUAUUUUUCAGCGGCGUGUUGAUAAUUUUGGAUUCGGAUGAGCGCUCGAUCUCGGCGCUCGUUAAUGAGAUCGAGAUCAUCCAGGAGCAUGGCAUCAUUGAGUUCCUCUCGUUCGGGUAGUAACCUUCUUCGAACGCCGGGGAACUCUACUUCUGCGGGAAUCAUGCAUUCUGUGCCGUAUACCAGAGCGAAGGGAGUUUCUCCCUUUGCUCGCCUUGGGGUGGUACGGUUAGACCAGAGGACUCCCUCGAGUUCGUCGGCCCACCUGCCUUUUUUGGGGUCUAAGCGUUUCUUCAGUCCGUCGAGAAUGGUCUUGUUGAUUGUUUCAGCCUGUCCGUUGCACUGCGGAUAUCUGGGAGUUGACUUGUUGAGUCGUAUCUUCCAUUUUUUUCAGAAUGCCUCAAACCGGGUGGAUAUGAACUGAGACCCGUUUUCGGUUACGAUCUCGUAAGGAACUCCAUGCCUACAGAUAAUGUUUUUCCAUACGAAAUUUUCGACUUGGACAUCUUUUAUACUUGCGUACGAGUCCGCCCUACCCAUUUUGAGAAAAAAUCGGUAAGGACUAGAAGGAAACACUUUUGUUUUGAAUUAUGCAGAGGUCCAACGAUAUCCAUGGCCCAGCGCAUAAAGGGGUAAGGCGAUGUGAUGGAGGAAAGAACUUAUGCCGGUUGUCGGAUGGUUGGUGCAUGCCUUUGGCAUUUUUUGCAUUUUCGUGCGAACUUCUCGCAAUCUCCGAUCAUUGUUGGCCAGUAGUAUCCAUGGCGUUUGAUUUUCACGGCUAGCGAUCUUCCACCGGAAUGGUUGCCGCAGGAACCGGAAUGUAUUUCCUCCAUUACGUUUCUCGCUUUUUCCCCUUCCAGACACGUCAUGAGUGGUCCGAAGAAUCUCCAUUUGUAAAUUUCGCUGUCCACUGUCACGUAGCGUGCGGCCAGUGUUCGGACCUUGCGAGCUGCCCAUUUUUGGCGGGCAGUUGGCUGUCGAUAAUGUAGUCUCGAAUCGUCUGAAGCCAUGGGGUAUCACAGCCGUAAUCAGAUUGCUCCGAUGGUGGUUGUAUCAAAAUUUCUUCUUCCUCGUCAUCUUGACCCUCUAUGAGAUUGACGAUGAUUGAUGGUCCGAUGCUUGGAUGUUCGAUGAACUCGACUGGAAUUACCCUUUUAAGUCCUGGGUCAGAACUUGAUGCUAGGGCCGCGAGGGCGUCUGCCUGGACGUUCUCGGAAUGGGGGAUUCGCGUAAGGGCAAAACAGUGGAAGUCUUGAGCUAGACCUUGGACCAGUUUGAGGUACGCGUCCAUCCGUUCGUCUCUGGCUUCGUACUUUCCGCUGAAUUGAGUGGCCACUAACUGGGAGUCGCAGUAAGCAUGGAGAUUACGUAUUUUUAAGCCGUGAGCCAAACGUAGUCCUGCAAUUAGUGCUUCUUAUUCGGCCUUGUUGUUCGAGGCGUGGAAUUCCAGCCUGAACGCUCGUUCCAAGAUCUCGCUCGUUGGAGAUGUGAGAUGGAUUCCGAUACCCAAUCCCUGCUUGGAUGAGGAUCCUUCGACGUGGAGGAGGCAGGUGGAAUUUGGUUCCUCAUUGGUUAUUGUCCCCGUUGGAAGUUCGACCAAGAAGUCUGCGAGCACUUGUGACUUUGCGCUCGUCCUUGGUCGGUACUCGAUGUCGUACUCACUCAACUCGACCGCCCACUUGGCCAGUCGGCCUAACUGACCUGGGCUAUGCAAAAUUGUCCGUACGGGAAAAGUCGUGAGGAUGACGAUUGUGUGGGAUUGGAAAUAUGGUCUUAGUUUUCGGGCCGAUGUUACGACCGCGCAUGCCAGUUUUUCAAUCAAUGGGUACCUAGAUUCGGCAUCCAGCAAGGUUUUGCUUAUGUAGAAAAUAGGUUUCUACAGCCAUUGCCGACACAGCGAUGUAUAAGAAUAAAGGCUCCCCUUCCACGGGUUUUGCAAGGACUGGAGGAGUAGCUAAAUAAUGCUUCAGCUGUUGGAAGGCGUUUUCGCACUCUUUCGACCAUUCGAAUUUUUUAUUUCCUCGCAGGACAUCGUAGAAGGGCAGGCACUUGUCUGUUGAUCGUGAAAUAAAUCGGUUAAACGCUGCUAUUCUACCGGUCAACCUUUGGACUUCCCGGUUAUUCUCUGGAGAAGCCAUCUCGAUUAGUGCGUUGAUCUGUUUCGGAUUUGCUUCGAUGCCGUGGUAUGUGACCAAGUAGCCGAGGAAUUCCCCUGAUGCCACGGCGAAUCUACAUUUUGUCGGGUUGAGCUUCAUGUUAUGGGAAUUUAAUUGUGCAAAACAUUCUUCGAGAUGUGACACGUGAUCUUUUGCUUUGAGGGAUUUGACGAGCAUGUCGUCGAUAUAAACCUCCAUCAUUUUUUCGAGUUGUUUGGAGAACAUUGUUCAUGAGUCGUUGGUAAGUUGCACCGGCGUUUUUGAGGCCGAAGGGCAUUACCUUAUAGCAAUAAGUUCCGCGAUCGGUAAUGAACACAGUCUUCUCGCGAUCGCCGGGAUUCAUCCUAAUUUGAUUAUAACCUGAGAAGGCAUCCAUGAAGGAUAAGAGUUCGUUGCCCGCUGUUGCUUCUACAAAUCGAUCGAUAUGUGGUAGAGGGAAGCUAUCCUUUGGACAUGCUUUGUUUAGGUCGGUAAAAUCAACGCAAAUUCGCCACUUCCCGUUCUUCUUUUUGACUACUACAGGGUUGGCGAGCCAGUCUGGGUAUCUUACUUCUGUUAUUGACCCAACUUUAAGCAAUUUUUCGACCUCAUUGUUUACUGCGGCAGCACGUUCGGGUCCUAAUUUCCGUCUUUUUUGUUUGACGGGUUUGAAUGUUGGGUCGAUAUUCAGCUUUUGACAUGGUAUACAACAAGGUAUAUGCCUGGGCUCGAGAGCUGUCGGCGAGAUUUGUAGCAUCCCCGAUCCUAGGUAGGAUCGUUGGGGCGAGCCAUGGUGAGAGGAGACGCACCAGACAGGUCAUUUGGCCUAAGGAGAAGCGUAUCAUGGCUAAAACAAGAAGGUUAAGGGUAUCAGGAAGCUGAGCCUUAACCAGGAUGGACGGAAGAAAACUUAGGAGAGCUGGCCGAGUGAUCUAGCAGCUGGAUAAGGUCGGGAACAAGCUCAACCAGCUGGGGACAGUGUGAAACCAGCUCACACGGUCCUGGGUAGCUCACUGGAGCUGAUAGGUUAGCUCACUCAGCUGAGGCCAGCUAGUGGCCAGCUCAACUCAGCUCGGUGAAGUGUUAUGGUCCGGGCCGGCUUGGUUGGGUCAUGGGCGGUUAUGGGCUGGAGGGGUCUUGGCCUGAAUCACCUAGGGUCCGUGGGGUCUUGGCCUUGGGCAAGGGACUCUGGACAAGGUUAUGGGCCUGAUUUUCGAACAGCGCAAAGGAAAAGGAAGAGCAGUUGGGCAGUUACUCCCGAAAAGGUGCAAAGGGGCAGUUUUGUGCCCUUUCUCUCUAACUGCUUGGUCGAUUUCUCUAGGGCAGUUGGGGCUGGCUUUCUCUGUAAAUAUAGAGUCCCUGGCACAGAAAAUGGCACGAAAUUCCUUAGGCAAAGCUCUGCCAAACUCAUAACAGAAAGAAAGAAAGAGAGAGACUGGCGGUUAGAGAAGAGAACCGUGUGUGGUGUUGUUGGCUUGCCGGCGUGUUCUGAGCGUGGAAAGGCCAGGCCGUGAAGAUGGAUACCAGACAGAAAGACAAGGAGAAGGAGAAGGAGAAGGACGUGCCUCCAGGGGAAAGAACGCCUAAGGUUAGUGGUGUAGACUGCAAGGAAUGGCCCCGGGCCUGCGGAUGAUCCGUGCGGCCUUGCGGCCGGUUCUCUUGGUAGAUGCAUCCAUUCUCUUACUUCUUUUGGAUCGCCGAUUUCUAUAGUGUGUUGUGAUGUUAUUGGAUUUAUUCAGACAGGGAACACUGGACCAAGGCCAUGGCCGGUCCAGGGAUAAAGUCCUAGGCAUUGGCCGGACUGAUAUAUGGUCGGAUCUCACAUUCCGGGUCGGUUCUGUUGAGAUCUGACUAUGGGAAUCUCUUAGUUGGGAAUUAUCAUGAAUUGUCAUGCAUUUUAUUUAGUUUUUGGGAAUUUAUCUGUGUAUGUCCAAAUUGGACAGAUCCUAGUUCUUAAGGGCCGAACCAUGCCAUUCUAGACUUGUUGCUUAGGUUAUCGGCCAUAUGUGUUCAUGAUGUGAUUUAUGUGGUUUCAGGACCAGACUUUGACCGUGGUAAAGGAAAGAUACCGGGAAGACUCAGGCCAUGGGUCAUUGUUGAUAAGCGUGUAGUAUUGAUAGCCUAUUCUGCAACUUGUGAACUUAUGAUAAACUAAGUGUGUAAACUAGUAGAUGAACUUAUGAAUGAUGUAUGGAUCUCAUAAUGUUAUAUAUAUAUACAAUCUGUUUGCCCCUUAUGUUCGCUUGUCUUGAUUGUUUAAAUUCGAACCUCACCUAAAGGAACUUGAACUUAACACCUAAAGGACCUUAAAAGACUGGAAUCAUUGUAUAAGAACGGAUGAUAAGGCCGCGGUUCAUGGUUGGGAUUAAGAGCCGGGAACGGGCCUUACAAGUUGGUAUCAGAGCAUGCUUGAUUCUAGGAUUUGGUUGGGUUAUGUGUUCACCACACUUCUGGCUUGGGUUAUUUGUACUUAACCGUGUGUGUUAUGAGGUUUGUGAAGUUCAUGGAACUGACUAGUUUGUGUUUUGAACGCCUAAGGGGACUAGGAAGGCUAAAGGCCGGAAAGGCAAGGAGGCGGCUGGUGCAUCUGGACCAGUUGGGAAAGGUGGGAUCAAUCCUACCCAAGUGCUGCCUGCCCGAGUGUUGCCUACCCAAGCGGGACUGGUAACCAAUGAGAUAGGGGAGGCUGUGGCGCCAACCUUGCCUUUGGAGGUUCAGGUAGAUAACCUGGGUGAUCAGCAGGAGUUGGGACGUGAGAAGGAAGGUGAAUCCUCCCAUGCAGGAGACUAGACCAGUCGGGGAAUGGGUGCCUUGGAGGCGGCCGAGCCAUCCAUGCGCGAGGUGUUGGAUGUGGUUAAGGCCAUGGGCACUCAGAUGUUGGCUUUCACUCAAGCAUUCACCCCAUUGGUGAAUUCUUCCGUGGGCCAGGUCACACCAGCUCAGGCCACAGCUCAGGCUACUCAAAGGGCAGCUCAGACAGCUGGGACCGCGGCUGGUGUAGCUCGAACAGCUGCACAGGUAGCUCGGACAGCUGCAAGGACAGUUGAGGAUCAAACUACAGUUGAGGCUGAUGUGAUGGAGAUCGAUCCGCCUGUUCGUCCAGUUAGGAGAGUGGAUUACUUGGCUUGCUAGCUCACAUCUCCAAGCUGGGUACGAAGCAGUUUGCUGGUAGUUCCGAUCCCAUUGAGGCAGACGAGUGGAGGAGCAGGUUGGCUCGAAACUUCAGUCAACUCGUUGUCCGGAGGAGUACAAGAAAGACAUUGCGGUUCACUUCCUGGAUGGUGACGCACACAACUGGUGGUUGGCGUUGGACAAACGCACCAAUGGGACUAUUGAGCGCUUUUCAGACUUUGAGGUUGAGUUCAACCACAAGUACUUUCCAGCUGAAGCUUGGGACCGCCUGGAGUCCCAGUUCCUGGAUUUGUCCCAGGGAUGCAUGACAGUACGUGAGUAUGAGGAGAAGUUUAACCGGCUCAGACGUUACGUAGGUAAGGAGCUGGAAGAGGAGACAGUGCAGAUACGUAGGUUUGUUCGGGGCCUAAGGGUCGAACUUCGAACCUACUGCUCGGUUGGACACUUUCAGACAGUGUCAGAGCUCGUAGAGAGGAUGGCUAUUGUAGAGACCAACCUGGCCGAGGUAUGUAAGCACAGGUCUAGGAGCCACGCAUCCUCUGGUGGUUCCGGAAGUGACCGGAAGAGGAAGAGGAACACGGCCGAGGAGGGUAGAACCUCAAGUGGUAGGCCAGAGUGUUCCAAGUGCGGAAGGCAUCAUGGAGGCGAAUGCUGGAAGGCUACGGGAGCUUGUACUCGGUGUGGCAAGAUGGAUCAUUCAGCUCGGGACUGUCCAGGGCCGGAACAAGGCCGCAGGCAGGGCUCAAGUGGGGGUGAUACCAGGGGAUGUCACCAUUGUGGAAAGGUAGGACAUUUCAAACGGGAAUGCCCAAAGCUCCAAGCGGAACAAGAGAAGGGUCGCGGUGAGGCAAGCAAACCAAGCCAGAUCCAGGGCCAGACCUCUAACCCAAGAGUUUACGAGCUGUCCAAGGAUGUGGACAAGACUACACCGUUCAAGUCGAUCACUGGUAAUGAUUCUAGGCUUAUUCUUUUCCAUUUGGUAGAAUUGCAUGGUACGGAACCUAGAACGGAUUAGAUACUUAGAUUGAGUCUUUGUAGGGACCCUAAGUAUUGGUGGUGUGGAAACACACGUUCUGUUCGACACUGGAGCUACACAUAGUUUUGUGAGUCCAGGGUUGAUCGGAAAGGGUUUGUUCCAAAUUGGGAUGAGGGAUGAUCCGUGCAUAGUAUAUGCAGCCGGUGGCCAAGCGAUGCAUUCCUUGGGACUGGUUAGGGACGUCCCAGUGAUAAUCCAGGACAGGGUAAUGCCUGUGGAUCUGGUGAUGGUCCCCCUUAAGAAUCACGAGGUGAUAUUGGGUAUGGACUGGCUUGGAAAGAAUCGGGCCACCUUGGAGUGUCACCGGGGAAGGGUGCAGUUCGAGAGUGGGUGUGGACCCCCGAUCAGGUUCCAAGGUAAUAAGCCGACCUCAAGUUGCUUAGUGGUAUCAGCAGUCCAAGCAGAACAGAUGCUUGAGAAAGGUUGUGAGGCUUACUUGGCCACAAUCACCACUAAGGAGGUCGUGGGGGGUGGUGACCCAGAAGGGAUACCGCUGGUCAGUGAGUUCGAGGAUGUGUUUCAGACGCUACAGGGCAUUCCCCCUGAUAGGGCAGAUCCGUUCAUAAUAGAACUGGAACCAGGGACGGCCCCAUUGUCUAAAAGUCCCUAUCGAAUGGCUCUUGCCGAAAUGGCCGAGCUAAAGAAACAACUGGAGGAGUUGUUGGACAAAGGGUUCAUACGCCCAAGUGUCUCGCCUUGGGGAGCACCAGUCCUGCUUGUGAAGAAAAAGGAUGGUAGUUUCAGGCUGUGCAUUGAUUACCGGGGGUUGAACAGGGUGACUGUGAAGAACAAGUACCCGUUGCCCAGGAUUGAUUAGUUGUUGGAUCAACUCAAGGGAGCCAAGUGGUUUUCCAAGAUUGAUUUGGCCUCAGGGUAUCACCAAAUCCCAAUAGAGCCCAAUGAUAUAAGGAAGACGGCAUUCCGGACCCGGUAUGGUCACUACGAGUUUGUGGUCAUGCCAUUUGGUCUAACCAAUGCUCCAGCUGCGUUCAUGAAGAUGAUGAAUGGUAUCUUCCGAGACUCUCUGGAUGAAUUUGUAAUCAUCUUCAUAGAUGACAUACUUGUAUACUCCAGAAGCAAAGAGGACCAUGAGAGGCAUCUGAGGGCGGUGUUGGAACGGUUGAGAGAGCAGAAACUCUUUGUGAAGUUGAGCAAGUGCAGCUUCUGGCAGAAAAGCAUUGGUUUCCUUGGGCACAUUGUGUCAGAUCAAGGAGUGUCAGUAGAUCCAGAAAAGAUACAAGCUAUCCAAGUUUGGCCACAACCUAAGAGUGCAACGGAAUUGGCCGGUUACUACCGAAAGUUUGUCAAGGGGUUUGCGAGUUUGGCUCAUCCCAUGACUCAGCUCACGGGGAAGGACGUGAGUUUCCUCUGGACGGGGGAUUGUGAGAAGUGCUUCGUGGCCCUGAAGGACAUGCUAACACAGGCACCAGUCCUAGUACAGCCAGAGGCAGAUCAGCCAUAUGUAGUGUACACGGACGCAUCCAUCACUGGGUUGGGAUGUGUUCUGACCCAACACGGGAAGGUGAUUGCUUAUGCUUCAAGACAAUUGAGGAAGCAUGAAGGGAAUUACCCAACCCAUGACUUAGAGAUGGCGGCCGUGGUGUUCGCACUGAAGAUUUGGAGAUCUUACCUAUAUGGUGCUAAGGUUCAGAUCCUUACCGACCACAAGAGCCUCAAAUACAUAUUCACGCAACCAGAAUUGAAUUUGAGGCAGAGGCGUUGGAUGGAGUUCGUGGCUGACUAUGAUCUAGACAUUGCUUACCAUCCUGGUAAGGCAAAUUUGGUGGCAGACGCCUUGAGCCGUAGGAGGGCCGAGGUAUCAGCUGAGAAGGAAGCAGAUCAGUUGGAAGAGAUGGUCUGGUCAUUGCACCUGAACACAAUGGCCAGCGAGGACGAGCCGUUGGGUUUGGAAGCAGUGAACCAGGCUGAUCUCCUCACCAGGAUCAGGCAGGCACAAGGCUUGGACGAGAACCUACAAAAGGUUGCUCGAAAUGAACUGACGGAGUAUCAAAUCACGGCAGAUGGAACCAUCCUGGUACGAGGUCGUGUUAGUGUACCUAAUGAUAAGACCCUUAAGGAAGAGAUUAUGAGGGAAGCUCAUAAGUCCAAGUUCUCGAUACAUACAGGUGAAACUAAGAUGUAUCAAGACCUUAAGAGGUAUUAUCAUUGGAUACGAAUGAAGGUAGAUAUAUCUGAGUGGGUGGCCAGGUGUGCUACUUGUCAGUUAGUCAAGGCAGAGCAUCAGGUUCCAAGUGGGUUAUUACAAAGUCUACCUAUUCCGGAGUGGAAGUGGGAUCACAUCACCAUGGACUUUGUAACCGGUUUUCCUACCACUAGGAAAAGGAAUGAUGCGGUUUCGGUGGUAGUAGAUAGACUCACCAAAUCCGCACACUUCCUGCCCUUGAAGAAAUCAGAUGGAGUUGAUCAGAUCGUGGUCAAAUAUUUGGAUGAGAUCGUGCGGCUACAUGGGAUUCCGUCUAGCAUUGUGUCGGAUAGCGAUCCGAGGUUUACUUCACGAUUCUGGAAGGCUUUCCAAAAGGCCCUAGGGACGAGGGUGAACAUGAGCACAGCCUAUCACCCACAGACAGAUGGUCAAUCAGAACGCACGAUCAGGAGACUGGAGGAUAUGCUGAGGGCAUGUGUCUUGGAUUUGGGUGAUUCAUGGGAAAGGCAUCUGCCAUUGGUAGAGUUUGCAUACAACAACAGCUUCCACCGAAGCAUUGGCAUGUCCCCCUACGAAGCCUUGUAUGGGCGGCCAUGUAGAACACCUCUAUGCUGGACCCAAGUGGGGGAGCGCAGCAUGAUAGGGCCGGAGAUAGUGGAGGAGACAACCGAGAAGAUCAAGUUCAUUCAGGAUAAGAUGAGAACAGCCCAAGACCGUCAGAAGCAUUAUGCUGACAAACGCCGGAAAGAACUUCAGUUCGAAGUUGGCAAUAUGGUGUACGUAAAGAUGAUUACCUUUAAGGGGAGGGUGAGAAUCUCAGGUAGGAGGAAGUUAGAUCCAAGGUAUUUGGGUCCAUUCAGAGUUGUUGAAAGAGUUGGUUCGGUGGCUUACAAGUUGGAUUUGCCAUCCGAAAUGGAAGCAUUCCACAAUGUGUUCCAUGUCUCUCAACUGAGGAAGUGCCUUUCGGAUCAGGAUGUUUACAUUCCAGAGAUUCCUUCUGAUUUAGGAACGAACCUCACCUUAGAAACAAGGCCGGUUCGGAUCAUGGACAGAAUGGAAAAGGCAACCCGGAACAAGACAACUCAAAUGCUCAAAGUGAUUUGGGAGUGCAACGGUCGAAAAGAGGUAACUUGGGAAACAGAAGCAAGAAUGAAAGCUGAGUUUCCUGGGUGGAUGAAACAAUUUGAA